rnacentral:pre_miRNA from 1 species
CGGGUACCAUGUUGUGUUUGCAGUCUUUAUUCUUUGUGAACACAGCUGGUGGUAUCUGGU